rnacentral:rRNA from 1 species
UUUAUUCGAUAGUGCACAUUACAUGGAUAACCGUGGUAAUUCUAGAGCUAAUACAUGCGCAAAUACCGGACGCAAGAAUGGUAGCAUUUAUUAGAUUUAACCAUCACAUGGUGAAUCAUAGUAACUUGGCUGACCGCGUGUAAACGUGGUAAAUCGUUCAAGUUUCUGCCCUAUCAGCUUUCGAAGGUAGUGUAUUGGACUACCCUUGCUAUCACGGGUAACGGAGAAUUAGGGUUCGAUUCCGGAGAGGGAGCCUGAGAAACGGCUACCACAUCUAAGGAAGGCAGCAGGCGCGUAAAUUACCCAAUCCCGAUUCGGGGAGGUAGUGACAAGAAAUAACAACCUGGGCGGUUUUCCGUUCCGGGAUUGCAAUGAGAUAAGUCCAAAUCCGUAAACGAUUAACAAUUGGAGGGCAAGUCUGGUGCCAGCAGCCGCGGUAAUUCCAGCUCCAAUAGCGUAUACUUAAGUUGUUGCAGUUAAAAAGCUCGUAGUUGAAAUUCGAGUCUAUUGCUGUCUGGCUUCAGUCAGGCUGCUAAUAGGCUCUCCGUCUACAACCCCUUUCGAGCUCUCACGGGUUUCACUGGGUGAGUAGGCAAUUUACCUUGAAAAAAUUAGAGUGUUCAAAGCAGGCCUUGCUGGAAUACAUUAGCAUGGAAUAAUGGAAUAGGAUUUUUGCCCUUUGUUGGUUUUAGGACAGAAAUAAUGAUUAAUAGGGACAGUGGGUGGUAUUAGUAUUUAAUUGUCAGAGGUGAAAUUCUUGGAUUUAUUAAAGACUAACUUAUGCGAAAGCAUUUACCAAUGAUGUUUUCAUUAAUCAAGAACGAAAGUUAGGGGAUCAAAGACGAUCAGAUACCGUCGUAGUCUUAACUAUAAACUAUACCGACUCGAGAUCGGAAGGGUUAAUAUUUUGGCCCUUUCGGCAUCGUAAGAGAAAUCAAAGUCUUUGGGUUCUGGGGGGAGUAUGGUCGCAAGGCUGAAACUUAAAGGAAUUGACGGAAGGGCACCACCAGGAGUGGAGCCUGCGGCUUAAUUUGACUCAACACGGGG